GACGAACGCUGGCGGCGUGCUUAACACAUGCAAGUCGAACGGAAAGGCCCUGCUUGCAGGGUCCUCGAGUGGCGAACGGGUGAGUAACACGUGGGUGAUCUGCCCUGCACUUCGGGAUAAGCCUGGGAAACUGGGUCUAAUACCGGAUAGGAGCCAUUUUUAGCGUGAUGGUUGGAAAGUUUUUUCGGUGUAGGAUGAGCUCGCGGCCUAUCAGCUUGUUGGUGGGGUAAUGGCCUACCAAGGCGGCGACGGGUAGCCGGCCUGAGAGGGUGGACGGCCACAUUGGGACUGAGAUACGGCCCAGACUCCUACGGGAGGCAGCAGUGGGGAAUAUUGCACAAUGGGCGCAAGCCUGAUGCAGCGACGCCGCGUGGGGGAUGACGGCCUUCGGGUUGUAAACUCCUUUCGCUAGGGACGAAGCUUUUUGUGACGGUACCUAGAUAAGAAGCACCGGCUAACUACGUG
rnacentral:rRNA from 1 species